rnacentral:rRNA from 1 species
GGUUGAUCCUGCCAGUAGUCAUAUGCUUGUCCCAAAGAUUAAGCCAUGCAUGUCUAAGUAUAAACCACUUAUACGGUGAAACUGCGAAUGGCUCAUUAUAUCAGUUAUAAUUUAUUUGAUGGUCUCUUUACUACUUGGAUAACCGUGGUAAUUCUAGAGCUAAUACAUGCAAAAAGCCCGACUUCUGGAAGGGUUGUAUUUAUUAGAUUAAAACCAAUGCCUUCGGGCUCCUGGUGAUUCAUAAUAACUCUGCGGAUCGCAUGGCUUUGCGCCGGCGACGCUUCAUUCAAAUU